AACGCACCUUGCGCCCUCUGGUAUUCCGGAGGGCAUGCCUGUUUGAGUGUCAUGAAGACUUCAACCCCUCGGGUUUUUGCCCGGGGAUGUUGGACUUGGGUGCCUGCCACGCUGUUGGCUCACCUCAAAUGUGUCAGUGGUAAUCAGACCUUUGACUGGAGUAAUAAGUUUCUCUUGUCUGUCGGUCAUCGAUGGCUGCUUCGAACCCUGCCCCCUGUGGCAAUUCUGACUCUGACCUCAAAUCAGGUAGGACUACCCGCUGAACUUAA
rnacentral:misc_RNA from 1 species